AUCUAAUUUUAGUCAGUAAACUUGCAGGUCAGUUCUGAUGUAUGUUCAAUAGCUCACCGAUUCCUUUCCCAUCGAACUCUGUUUUCUUUCUUUCUUUUAAUCGUUGUUUUGGAUAUUCACUAAUUAGCCUGACUAUAUACAUACCAAACAUCAGGUACGUCACAAAUUCACUUCCUUCCCUUCCCUUCGUCCCUCAGCCCCUUGCUCGUGGCGUUGAAGUGGUGGCGACAGGCGAUGGCGGCGGCGUUGUCGAUUGCGGUGAGGACAUCCCGUGGCAGCCCCCGAAGCACCAACACGACGCCACCUGGUCUGCCAUCUCCAUAUGGGCUACCACGAUCUGAUCCGAAGGCCGAUGCAGCUCCGGGCUAUUGAUAAUGGAGGUUCAGGAUCCUUCCUCUCAGCACCCACUCAUGGCAGAAUCAGCAGCGUGCCACGCGGAUGGAACCCGGCCGAGAUCACGGGAUGCUUCCAUACAGGGCUGGCCAAGAUUGCAAUUCUGAAUUUUUUUUGUAAACGAAGUGAAGAGUGGGACAUGAUCUGUACUUGUGCUAAUAGAAAAUAUACAGGACUUGUGUAGGUGCAGGUUUUGUUUUAACAUUCCAAUUGUUGUUUAUCCUUUUGUCGCUGAAAAUUCUUUACUAAUUAUGACAUUCAUUUUAUUUCUUCUAGAUGUAUCUCGAUCCACUAUGUCUGAUCAUAAGGUGACAAUGGCGGCAUAGCAGCCCGGAGGAGACGGCGGCGAGCCCCCCUCCUCCAACUGUAGCAAUUCACCAGGCGGCGGCACGAACGACCUUCAUCUCUAGAUGCUUCCCUGCACACCGAUGAGAUUCACGCCGAUGGUCUUGACUCCUGACCAAUGUCUUUUAGGCUUGAAGUCCCUGUAGUACCCAAGGAAGGGCCACAACUAAUUGAUGUUCUCAUAAUGCUACCAUAAUUCUAUGCUUUCUCAUCUGUACUGGUAAUUGUUCAGGCAUAGAUGCAUUAUGGUCAUGGGAGAACAAUACUUGUAUGAAUUGAUUACCCUCCUGGUCAGUACUAUUUUAUUCUAAGUAUUCAGUUGCCUGCAAAAUAAUUCUAUGAUAGACAUCUAACUGCAUGUUGUUGUGUGACCUGCACCUAAACUGAUAACAGAAACAACAAACUGCUUGAAACUCGGCGCCUUUGUAUUUGCCCUCAUUUGUUGAGGUUUAGUUUCACAAAUUAGACACACUAUGAACCUGAUAGCAUUUUUAUCUUAGUUUAGGCAUCCAUACAACCUGGAGA